GAAGCUGCCCAUGUUAUUUUCG
rnacentral:miRNA from 1 species